rnacentral:lncRNA from 1 species
CCUGUGAAGUGUGCCCAUUCUGGUAGCUGCAUUAGUGUAACAGCACCACCUUCGUUCCCCUGCUCGGCAGACUUGUUUUAAAAGACUCAACUUUCUUUAAACCAGAAAAAGCAGGUUCAGAUUCCCUUAUGGAUGCACUUGUGUUUGAAAACUGAAUGUGUUUAUUGCUCGUUAAUCAAAUGUAUCUAUUUUGUUUAGCAGGUUCAGCUGAGGAGAGAUCUGCCCUCUCUUACAUCUUCCCAGUCUCCUGAGACUCCUGCCACUCCUGGCUGACCUCUACAGCUACAGCAAACAAAUGGAUUUUGCUGAGUUUGUCUUAUGCGAUUCCCUGACUUCACUUGGAGACAGACAAAAGGAAGAUUAUAUUGUGAAUAACUCCAAACAAGAGCUAAGUUGGAGACUGCGGCUGAUUUCUUCCAAAGAAUAACCGAGUCUCUAAGUCGUCACUGAACAAUUAGGUACCUGGCAACAGAACGGAUGUGCAAUUUGAAGCAACUGAAACUGAGAUCAGUCCUGGAUGUAAAAAAUAACCUUAACCACAGUAUCAAAGGCCUGAGGAAGUGGAUUGGCUUACCCUUCUAUAAAGGGAGGAAGGAAUGGGCUAAAACCGGGAAAAAACAUCUCAGAAUGAGCAGAACCUGAAGACGUGCUAGGCAAGAGAAGGCUAGAGUCUCUGCAUAUGCAGAGACUAGGUGGACGUUGCCUCCUACCAAACUGUUCAACUAUCACUAAAUUACUUCUGCGUUGGUACGUAACCCCUUUCUUCCUCAUAAAGACAACUGAACUGUGCCUACACACAAAUCAUGGGAAG